UACGAAGGGGGCUAGCGUUAAUCGGAAUUACUGGGCGUAAAGCGUGCGCAGGCGGCGCGUUAAGACAGGUGUGAAAGCCCCGAGCUUAACUUGGGAAUUGCGCUUGUGACUGGCGUGCUGGAGUGUGGCAGAGGGAGGUGGAAUUCCACGUGUAGCAGUGAAAUGCGUAGAGAUGUGGAGGAACACCGAUGGCGAAGGCAGCCUCCUGGGCCAGCACUGACGCUCAUGCACGAAAGCGUGGGGAGCAAACAGG
rnacentral:rRNA from 1 species